rnacentral:snRNA from 1 species
AGCUUUGUGCAGUGGCAGUGUUGUAGUCAAUGAGGUUUAUCUGAGGCACAAUUUUUGCUAAUUAAAAGAAGUUGUCAGCUCUGAAAAAUGGGAAAUGGACAAAAGUAAAGAUUAAUAACUCUAUCAUCCUUUUAAAAAAG